AUUUUCGCAGCGAAUUUUGGUGCGUGUUCUAAAUGUUUAGAACAUGCUUAAAAGGGAAUUCGGUGUAAGACCGAAGCUGUUCCCGCAACUGUAAGUCGUUCGCCAUUGGUGGAUAAUGUGUCGCUUCAAAAAACCACUUUUAAUUUCCUGUAUUAUGAAAUUAAAGGGAAGGUUCACAUGCCAGACAAGCCAGGAGACCUGCCUAGAUUCAACCAUUGUU
rnacentral:ncRNA from 2 species